GGAUGAAUAUUGGUCAAUGGUCGCUAGACUGAACCAGCCAAGUAGCGUGCGGGAUGAAGGCCCUCCGGGUCGUAAACCGCUUUUAGACGGGGAUAAAAGGGCGUACGUGUACGCCGUAUUGCAUGUACCGUCAGAAAAAGGACCGGCUAAUUCCGUGCCAGCAGCCGCGGUAAUACGGAAGGUCCGGGCGUUAUCCGGAUUAUUGGGUUUAAAGGGAGCGUAGGCGGACUUUCAAGUCAGUGGUAAAAUCGUGUGGCUCAACCAUACCUCGCCAUUGAAACUGGAAGUCUGGAGUGCACACAGGGGUGCCGGAAUUCAUGGUGUAGCGGUGAAAUGCUUAGAUAUCAUGAAGAACUCCGAUCGCGAAGGCAAGUGCCCGGGGUGCAACUGACGCUGAGGCUCGAAGGUGCGGGUAUCGAACAGGAUUAGAUACC
rnacentral:rRNA from 1 species